CCGCCGUACCCGCCGCCGCGCCGACCGCCCAACGAGCGCGCGAUGUUGAAGCCGGCCACACUGGCGACGUUGAGGCCGAUGACGGCGACGACGAUGGCCAGCGCGGUGCCGGCCGAGAUACCCUCGGUGGCGGAGCUUUCGUAGGCCAUCGAGGUCAGCAGGGCGAUCAGCAGCACUGCAGGGCCGGACAGUGUUUGGAGCUGACCAGACUCUGGCGCCGGCCGGCGCCGGCGGCGACUGACGACCGGGCCGGCGGCGCGCGCAGCUUAUCUCGGGUCAGGGCGGCGACAUCCCUCCGAGACCGGGCGGAGACUAGGGAUGGUGUCGCGGCUCUGGAUGGUGUCGACGGCGCUAGACUCGGCCGUGCCCGCUGGCUCACUGUCCGGCGCCGCGGGCCGCUGGGCCAGCCGGAGCUCAGCGGUUCACCUCAG